UACGAAGGGGGGCUAGCGUUGCUCGGAAUCACUGGGCGUAAAGGGGUGCGUAGGCGGGUCUUUUAAGUCAGGGGUGAAAUCCUGGGAGCUCAACUCCAGAACUGCCUUUGAUACUGAAGAUCUUGAGUUCGGGAGAGGUGAGUGGAACUGCGAGUGUAGAGGUGAAAAUUCGUAGAUAUUCGCAAGAACACCAGUGGCGAAGGCGGCUCACUGGCCCGAUACUGACGCUGA
rnacentral:rRNA from 1 species